ensembl:ncRNA F11C1.15 ncRNA
CCCUUCAAUUUACAGUUCCCCGUUUGUACCCGCCAGAUGACUGUACACACGGCUCAUUUGAUCUGGAGUAGAGUGGGCAAGUGCAGUCAUUUUUGCCGCAAAACAUGCGACACCCUGCAAUUGAGAUCCUCACGAAAAACGCGCCGCAAUGAAUGAGUUCGGCACUUCAUGUUUUCCCAACAA